GACGAACGCUGGCGGCGCGCUUAACACAUGCAAGUCGAACGCUGAAGCCCAGCUUGCUGGGUGGAUGAGUGGCGAACGGGUGAGUAACACGUGAGUAACCUGCCCCCUUCUUUGGGAUAACGCCCGGAAACGGGUGCUAAUACUGGAUAUUCACUGAUCUUCGCAUGGGGGUUGGUGGAAAGGUUUUUUCUGGUGGGGGAUGGGCUCGCGGCCUAUCAGCUUGUUGGUGGGGUGAUGGCCUACCAAGGCUUUGACGGGUAGCCGGCCUGAGAGGGUGACCGGUCACAUUGGGACUGAGAUACGGCCCAGACUCCUACGGGAGGCAGCAGUGGGGAAUAUUGCACAAUGGGCGAAAGCCUGAUGCAGCGACGCCGCGUGAGGGAUGACGGCCUUCGGGUUGUAAACCUCUUUCGCUCAUGGUCAAGCCGCAGCUUUGGGUUGUGGUGAGGGUAGUGGGUAAAGAAGCGCCGGCUAACUACGUGCCAGCAGCCGCGGUAAUACGUAGGGCGCGAGCGUUGUCCGGAAUUAUUGGGCGUAAAGGGCUUGUAGGCGGUUGGUCGCGUCUGCCGUGAAAUCCUCUGGCUUAACUGGGGGCGUGCGGUGGGUACGGGCUGGCUUGAGUGCGGUAGGGGAGGCUGGAACUCCUGGUGUAGCGGUGGAAUGCGCAGAUAUCAGGAAGAACACCGGUGGCGAAGGCGGGUCUCUGGGCCGUUACUGACGCUGAGGAGCGAAAGCGUGGGGAGCGAACAGG
rnacentral:rRNA from 1 species